AGUGAACGCUGGCGGUAGGCCUAACACAUGCAAGUCGAACGGCAGCACAGUAAGAGCUUGCUCUUACGGGUGGCGAGUGGCGGACGGGUGAGGAAUACAUCGGAAUCUACUUUUUCGUGGGGGAUAACGUAGGGAAACUUACGCUAAUACCGCAUACGACCUACGGGUGAAAGCAGGGGAUCAUCGGACCUUGCGCGAUUGAAUGAGCCGAUGUCGGAUUAGCUAGUUGGCGGGGUAAAGGCCCACCAAGGCGACGAUCCGUAGCUGGUCUGAGAGGAUGAUCAGCCACACUGGAACUGAGACACGGUCCAGACUCCUACGGGAGGCAGCAGUGGGGAAUAUUGGACAAUGGGCGCAAGCCUGAUCCAGCCAUACCGCGUGGGUGAAGAAGGCCUUCGGGUUGUGAAGCCCUUUUGUUGGGAAAGAAAAGCAGCAGGUUAAUACCCCGCUGUUCUGACGGUACCCAAAGAAUAAGCACCGGCUAACUUCGUG
rnacentral:rRNA from 1 species